UCCCUGGUAGUCUAGUGGCUAGGAUUCAGUGCUUUCACCGCCGUGGCUGGGGUUCAAUUCCCGGUUAGGGAA
rfam:Ovis aries breed Texel chromosome 2, whole genome shotgun sequence.